UACAGAGGGGGCUAGCGUUAUUCGGAAUUAUUGGGCGUAAAGGGCGCGUAGGCGGCCAUGCGUGUCUUCCGUGAAAUCCCUCGGCUUAACUGAGGACGUGCGGAAGAAACUGCAAGGCUCGAGUCCGGGAGAGGGGGGUGGAAUUCCCAGUGUAGCGGUGAAAUGCGUAGAUAUUGGGAGGAACACCAGUGGCGAAGGCGGCUCACUGGACCGGAACUGACGCUGAGGCGCGAAAGCGUGGGGAGCAAACGGG
rnacentral:rRNA from 1 species